rnacentral:lncRNA from 1 species
UCACACUUAGAUGAUAUGAGUGUUAAUGAGUUAUGUAAUGUUAUAGGAGGGUUGUAGCUCGUUGGUUUGUGCGCGAGUGAUUUCAGGAGUUGCUAGCUUUCAGCACUUACGAGGUGAGUCUUCUCACUAUACUGUACCCGGAAGGGUUUGACUGUGUGACCGGAAGGUCAAGUAUGUUAUGUAUUAUGUUUAUAUGCUAUAAGUGGUAAGUUAAGUGUUAUAUGGAUAUGUAUGCUAUAAGUGGUAAGUUAAGUGUUAUAUGGAUAUGUAUGCUAUAUGUGGUAAGUUAAGUGUUAUAUGUGCUAUGUAUGAUAUGUGGGCCGGAAGGCAAUAUGUUAUGGGCCGGAAGGCGAUUAUGUUAUGGGCCGGAAGGCGUUGUAAUGAGGACCGGAAGGUCAGGGCCUGGAAAGGCGUAUGUGCGUAAGUGUAUAUUGGGGAACUCACUAAGCAUUUAUGCUUACAGUUGUUGUGCAUGUAUUUCAGGUACUAGCGAGGACCGUGGGAAGGCGCCGGCAUGAUCGAUACACACUGAAGAUUGUUUUAUGAUCUUGGGAGUUUGAAUAAUUGUAUUGACCGAAUAAUUAAACUGUUUAUGCCUUGUUUUUAAUGGAAAUAAUUAUGUUUUAAAAAUGAAAAAUUUGUUUGAAAAAUUUGAGUUGUUACAAUUGGUAUCAGAGCCUUGGUUUGAGGGAUUCGGGUGCACCUUCGGGGGUAACUGAACUCAAACCGAGGAUUUGAGGAAACUUUUCAAAUAAAGGCAUAAACUUUUGUAAAUGGUUUUGUGGUAAGCAAGAAAGAAGCAGUGUGUACGAUCAGUCAGCGCCCGAACGGUAAAGAUCCCCAAAAUACCUUACAAUAUUAUAUGAUAUGAAUUGUUAUGCAUGCUAGAAGACUAGGUAUUCAUGAUAGGACUAGAGUGGCCUGAUUUGUGAUGCCUUAGUCUAGGGAAGUUGCCUAUAUGAGAUGCUUUGCUAGUAUGCGGGUAGAUAGAGCGUAUCAGAAGUAGAGUACUCACUAUCUGGAGUUUGGGGAGGAGGACUUGGGAUGAACAUUGAUGCGGUGUGGUCGGUAGUAUUGGGCCCGUACUACCGAGGACACCGGGUCAGUGGGAGGCCCAAGUAAGAAUCCCUGGAUAUCUGGGACUGAGUAGGGUUGCGUGUCGAGUACGAUUAUACUCGGUAGAAUCUCUGAUAGUUUUAUGUUGUAUUUCAGAGAUAUCAUGGUUAGACCGCGGCACGGGGCAAGUACGAGCGGUGUGAGUGACGAGGAUAUUCGUCAGAUGAUCCACGAGGAGGUGGCGGCGGCGAUCCGGGCUGAGAUCCCGGAGAUGUUUGGGUCUAUCAAGACCACCCUGAUGGAGACGUUCGACGAGCGGUACGCCGCAUUGACUGAGGCUGCAACCGCUGCAGCUACCGCAGCUGUGGCCGCUGCUAGGCCACAGGGGGGUGAUUCAUUGCUGUUCCGAGAGUUCAGCAACACGAAGCCACCAGAGUUCGAUGGGACGCAGGAUCCGAUUGCUGCGAUGAGGUGGAUCGCAGAUAUAGAGGGGUGCUUCUACACUUGUUCAUGCCCGGAGCACCUGAGGGUACGGUUCGCUUUGAACCAGCUCCGUCUGGGAGCCAAGGACUGGUGGAAGUUCGUGACGGCGAACUUCACUUUAGCAGAGACUGCGGCAGUGACAUGGGAGGGGUUCACUACCAUGUUCAGGGAUGAGUACGUUCCCCCGGUGGAGCGGGAACGAUUGGUUCAGGAGUUCUUAACCCUCAAGCAGGGUACUGAUUCGGUGGCGGCGAUCACGCGGAAGUUCCAUGAGAGGGCGAUGUUUUGCCCCGAGCUGGUGGCCACAGAGCAGGCUCGGAUGAGCCGGUACUUGGGUGUUCUGAGGAGGGAGAUCCGGGAGUUUGUGUCAAACUCCACUUACCAUACUUUUACUGAGCUUCAGGCGAAUGCCAGGAAGCGUGAGAUCGAGUUAGAGACUCAGGCCAGGGAGGAGGCCGAGUCUCAGCAGGCAGACCGGCGACCGGCUCAGUCUCAGCCGGCAGCCAAGCGGAUCAAGUCCGCCGAUUCGAGGACGGGAGGUUCGAAGAACCGCACUUGCGUAAAGUGCGGUAAGGGUCACGAUGGGGCGUGUCGAGCCGGUGCUUGCUACAAGUGUGGCAAGGAGGGACACAUUGCUAGGGAGUGUCCCAAGGGAUUUAUGGUUUGCUUUCAUUGCAACCAGACCGGCCAUCGGAAGGCCGAGUGCCCUCAGCUUCGUCAGGGAUCUGCACCUGUUGCCAGGACUACUGAGACUCGACCGGUGAAGGUCGAGGCCCCGAGGGCUCGUGGGAGAGCCUUUCAGCUGACUGCGGAGGAGGUCCGCGCUGCGCCCGAUGUUGUGGCAGGUAUGUUGUAAUUCAUGUAAUUAUUUUAAUGUCGAUAUGUUAUGCUUAUGUUAUUAUGCGCGUAGGUACUUUCCUUGUGAACUCUGUGCCUGCCUUAGUGUUAUUUGACUCGGGUGCGAGUAGGUCCUUUGUGUCCUUGGCCUUUAGUCAGCAUAUUGGCGUUAGUCGUGAGUCGUUGAGUCGACCUUUGAGAGUCUCUAUAGCUGACGAGAAGGUGAUUUGUGCUACGGAGGUUCUUCGGGGAUGUGUACUAGAGAUUUUCGGGGUUGGAUUCCCGAUUGACCUGAUUCCUAUCGCGAUGGGGGAUGUCUGUGUCAUCGUGGGCAUGGACUGGUUGAGCCGGUUCGGCGCUGUCAUCGACUGUGAGCGUCAGUUGGUGACUAUACGAGACCCAAGUGGGGGAGUUCUUUCGGUAUACGGCGAGGGUACCCGUUCGGGAUCAGCUUUUUGUUCGGCCGCUAGGGCGAGGCAGUGUCUACGGCAGGGCUGUAAGGGUUUCGUGGCGUAUGUGAUGGAUACGCGGGAGGUUUCUGAGAAACCGAAGUCAGUUGAGGAAGUUCCGGUGGUGCGCGAGUUUUCAGAUGUCUUUCCCGAGGAGUUGCCGGGAGUACCGCCUGUGAGGCAAGUAGAGUUUAGUAUCGAUCUGGUUCCGGGGGCAGCGCCUAUUGCUAAAGUGCCCUAUCGUCUUGCACCUCCAGAGAUGCAAGAGUUGUCCUCGCAACUCCAGGAGUUGCUGGGGAAGGGAUUCAUUCGGCCGAGCAGCUCGCCAUGGGGAGCACCUAUUCUGUUCGUCAAGAAGAAGGAUGGUUCACACCGGAUGUGCAUUGAUUACCGGGAGUUGAACAAGCUAACGGUCAAGAACCGUUACCCGUUGCCGAGGAUCGAUGAUUUAUUCGAUCAGUUGCAGGGAGCAUCUUGGUUUUCCAAGAUCGAUCUGAGGUCAGGAUACCAUCAGGUGAGAGUACGGGAUGAGGACGUCCAGAAGACAGCGUUUAGGACGCGAUAUGGGCAUUAUGAGUUUGUGGUGAUGCCUUUUGGACUCACCAAUGCCCCGGCUGUGUUCAUGGAUCUCAUGAACAGGGUAUGCAGGCCGAUGUUGGAUCGGUCAGUGAUUGUAUUUAUCGACGACAUUCUGGUGUAUUCGAGAUCUAGAGAGCAGCAUGAGGAGCAUUUGAGGGAGGUCCUUGAGGUAUUGAGGUCGGAGAAGCUUUAUGCAAAGUUCUCCAAAUGUGACUUCUGGUUGCGGGAGGUCCAGUUUCUAGGACAUGUGGUUAAUCAGAAAGGGAUAUUGGUCGAUCCGGCCAAGGUUGAGGCGGUGAUGAGUUGGGAGGUGCCGAAGUCACCCUCUGAGAUCAGAAGUUUCCUUGGGUUGGCAGGGUAUUAUCGGAGAUUUAUCAAGGAUUUCUCCAAGAUCGCAGUGCCACUCACCAGAUUGACCCGGAAGGGUGUUACAUUCUCAUGGGGGCCCGAGCAGCAGACCUCCUUUGAGACACUUCGCCAGAGAUUGUGCGAAGCCCCGGUAUUAGCUCUUCCAGAAGGGAUGGAAGAUUUCGUGGUAUAUUGCGACGCAUCGAUUUCGGGAUUGGGUGCAGUGUUAAUGCAGAGGGGUCAUGUGAUAGCUUAUGCGUCGAGGCAGCUGAAGCCUCAUGAGGCGAGAUAUCCCACGCAUGAUUUAGAGUUGGGGGCAGUAGUGUUCGCUCUCAAGAUUUGGCGUCACUACUUGUAUGGGGUUCGAUGUACGAUAUACACGGACCAUAAGAGUUUGAAGUAUUUGAUGGAUCAACCCAACCUAAAUAUGCGUCAGAGGAGGUGGUUGGAUGUGGUCAAGGAUUAUGAUUGUGAGAUCCUGUACCACCCAGGCAAGGCUAAUGUGGUAGCCGAUGCAUUGAGCCGCAGGGCGGAGAGCACUCCAUUGCGAGACGUAUGCUUGAGACUGACUGUGAUGACUCCAGUAUUGGACGCUAUUCGUGGGGCCCAGGCGGAGGCUGUGCGACCAGAAAUGCAGAAGAAAGAGCGGGUUGUGGGGUUAAUCUCAGAGUUUGUCAAGGAUAGUCGAGGCCUUAUGACGUUUCAGGGUCGGAUUUGGGUACCGUUCGUGGGCGGUACGCGUAUUACGUUGAUGGAAGAGGCUCAUAGAUCGAAAUUCUCGAUCCAUCCCGGUGCUACAAAGAUGUAUUUGGAUUUAAGGAAGGAAUAUUGGUGGCCCUGUAUGAAGAGGGACGUGGCAUGGUUCGUUGAGAGGUGCUUGACCUGCCGUAGGGUUAAGGCUGAGCACCAGAGACCGCAUGGCAAGUUACAGCCAUUGGAGAUCCCCGAGUGGAAGUGGGAACAGAUUACUAUGGAUUUUAUCACCAAAUUGCCGAGGACUGCUAGGGGAGUUGACGCAAUUUGGGUGAUCGUGGAUAGGUUGACAAAGAGUGCACACUUCCUUGCCAUCAGUGAGAGUUCUUCGGCGGAGAAAUUGGCGGAGAUAUACGUGAGAGAGGUGGUAUCUCGGCACGGGGUGCCGAUCUCGAUUGUGUCAGACCGUGAUGUGCGCUUUACUUCCAGAUUCUGGAAGAAAUUCCAUGAGGAGCUGGGUACUAAAUUGCAUUUUAGUACCGCAUACCAUCCCCAGACAGACGGUCAGAGCGAGCGGACAAUUCAGACACUGGAGGACAUGCUCCGAGCGUGUGUGUUAGACUUCGGGGGUAGUUGGGAUGCGUAUUUACCAUUGGCAGAGUUUUCCUACAACAACAGCCAUCAUUCGAGCAUUGGUAUGCCGCCUUUCGAGCUGUUGUAUGGUAGGAGGUGUCGGACUCCCAUUUGCUGGGGAGAGGUGGGACAGAGAGUGAUGGGCAGCACGGAGAUCAUACUCCAGACGACAGAGCAGAUUCAACAAGUGAGACAAAGAUUAUUGACUGCCCAGAGCCGACAGAAGAGUUAUGCAGACAGGCGCCGAUCCGAGCUUGAAUUUCAAGUCGGCGACUUCGUUCUCCUGAAGGUCUCUCCUUGGAAAGGAGUGAUUCGGUUCAGGAAGAGAGGCAAGUUGGGGCCCCGGUAUAUUGGGCCAUUUCGUGUGAUUGCAAGGAUAGGUCGGGUAGCCUACCGGUUGGAGUUGCCAGCGGAGUUGGGUCAGAUCCAUGACACUUUUCAUGUGUCGCAGUUGAGGAAGUGCAUAGCCGAUGAGUCGGCAGUGGUUCCAUUGGAGGAUAUUCAGGUGGAUGCGAGCCUGAAUUACGCGGAGAGACCAGUGGCUAUCAGGGAUCGGAAGAUCAAGGUUCUGAGGAACAAGGAGGUACCUCUGGUGUUGGUUCAAUGGCAACACCGUAAGGGAUCAGAAAUGACUUGGGAACCGGAGCGCGAAAUGCGGGAGCAGCAUCCGGAACUAUUUGCAGAGUGAGACUUCGAGGGCGAAGUCUAAUCCAAGUGGGGGAGAGUUGUAACAGCCCGGAAUCUCAGGUAUUAUUAAAAUUAUGUUUUUGGGGUGAUUUAAGAGGGGACUCGGCGAGUUGGAGCCUAGACUCGCCGAGUAGGAUCGCAGACUUGGUCGCGGGUCCGCGACUGGACUCGACGAGUCCAGAUAUGGACUCGGCGAGUCGACGCUGUUUAGCGGAAACCCUAACCGUUCAGGUUUGGGACGUAUAAAAGGGGUCCAUUGGCCGUCAUUGUUCGUUUUAGCCUUCUGAGAAGAACCCUAAAUCGAUUUAGUGCAGCAGGAGCAAGGAUCUUAGGCCAUUGUUGGUUAUAGAAGAGUGGGUGUGCAAGGAAGAGGAAGGAUUGGCUAAAAGAGCAGCAAGGGGUCACAUUCUGAGGAUUGGGAAUACAGAGAAUACAUCAUCCAGGUAAGAAUUCGUGUAUGCUCUGCUAUAUUGAUGUAUUUAUGAAAUUAGGGUUUAUAGAACCCAUUUAGUGAUUUGAUGAAGUAAUGCCUUGUUACCCCACGACUAUAAUCUUGUAUUAGGACCUUUAGAGGUCCAGAAGGUCCCAUGCAUGUGUACUUCGGGACGAGACCUAUCUCAGGAAGCAGUUACUCGUCUGCAUGGCAUGGACUCGCCGAGUUGUUCUUCAGACUCGGCGAGUAGCUUGAAGAUUUACUGGGACUCGCCGAGUUGUUCUUCAGACUCGGCGAGUGGAGUCGGGGUGGCCCCGCGAUUCUUCCAGGAGUGACUCGUCGAGUCAAAGAGGAUACUCGACGAGUAGAAGGGGAAUCUUAGAGGAUUGAAGGACGACCAGACUCGCCGAGUCGCCAGGGAACUCGCCGAGUCCAGUCGAGCUGACAAUGGACUGUUGACCAGAGUUGACUGGGGUGAUUUCUUAGGGCCAGUUAACGUGGAAGAUAGAAGUAUUAAUAAGGGAUAUAUGAUGAUACAGGGAGCUUGUAGCUCGGAGGAUCAAGUGCAAGGGAUUUUAGGAGUUGCUAUCUUCCAGUGUCUACGAGGUGAGUCUUCUCACUAUACUGUACCCGGAAGGGUUUGACUGUGUGACCGGAAGGUCGGAUAUGAUAUGUGAUAUGUAUGCUAUAUGUGGUAAGUUAAUUGUUAUAUGUGCUAUGUAUGUUAUGGGCCGGAAGGCGAUUAUAUUAUGGGCCGGAAGGCGAUUAUAUUAUGGGCCGGAAGGCAUUAUGUUAUGGGCCGGAAGGCGAUAUGAUGUGUGAUGGACCGGAAGGUCGGCGUGGGUAAGGCCGGAAGGUUUACCCAGCAGGGACGGAAGUCCCCUGAGACACAUGGACCGGAAGGUCGGGCCUGGAAAGGCGUAUGUGCGUAAGUUGUAUAUUGGGGAACUCACUAAGCUUCGUGCUUACGUUGUUUAUGUUAUGUUGUUUCAGGUUCUUUCAGUAACGCGGGAUGGCAACGGUUCGAUUGUACACACCGAAGAAAGAGUUGUGCUUUGGAGGAUCCUGGUUGUCUAUUCAAAUGAAAAUGAAACUAUAUUUUGUAAUUCGAAUGUGAAUAAGAUUUAAAGAAGUGUUUUAAUAUUAAAUUGAUUAUUUAAAUGAAAUAUUGUAUUUUUGGAAAUCA